UAGGGAAUCUUCGGCAAUGGACGGAAGUCUGACCGAGCAACGCCGCGUGAGUGAAGAAGGUUUUCGGAUCGUAAAGCUCUGUUGUAAGAGAAGAACGAGUGUGAGAGUGGAAAGUUCACACUGUGACGGUAUCUUACCAGAAAGGGACGGCUAACUACGUGCCAGCAGCCGCGGUAAUACGUAGGUCCCGAGCGUUGUCCGGAUUUAUUGGGCGUAAAGCGCGCGUAGGCGGUUUUUUAAGUCUGAUGUGAAAGCCCACGGCUCAACCGUGGAGGGUCAUUGGAAACUGGAAAACUUGAGUGCAGAAGAGGGUAGUGGAACUCCAUGUGUAGCGGUGGAAUGCGUAGAUAUAUGGAAGAACACCAGUGGCGAAGGCGGCUACCUGGUCUGCAACUGACGCUGAGACUCGAAAGCAUGGGUAGCGAACAGGAUUAGAUACCCUGGUAGUCCAUGCCGUAAACGAUGAGUGCUAGGUGUUGGAGGGUUUCCGCCCUUCAGUGCCGGAGCUAACGCAUUAAGCACUCCGCCUGGGGAGUACGACCGCAAGGUUG
rnacentral:rRNA from 1 species